GACGAACGCUGGCGGCGUGCUUAACACAUGCAAGUCGAACGGAAAGGCCCUGCUUUUGUGGUGUGCUCGAGUGGCGAACGGGUGCGUAACACGUGAGUAACCUGCCCUUGACUUUCGGAUAACUUCAGGAAACUGGGGCUACUACCGUAUAGGAGCUCCUGCUGCAUGGUGGGGGUUGGAAAGUUUCGGCUGUUGGGGAAGGACUCGCGGCUUAUCAGCUUGUUGGUGGGGUAGUGGCUUACCAAGGCUUUGACGGGUCGCCGGCCUGAGAGGGUGACCGGCCACAUUGGGACUGAGAUACGGCCCAGACGCCAACGGGAGGCAGCAGGGGGGAAUAUGGCACAAUGGGCGGAAGCCCGAGGCAGCAGCGCCGCGUGCGGGAUGACGGCCUUCGGGUUGUAAACCGCUGUCGCCUGUGACGAAGCGUGAGUGACGGUAAUGGGUAAAGAAGCACCGGCUAACUACGUG
rnacentral:rRNA from 1 species